rnacentral:rRNA from 1 species
GACGUAGGGCGCGAGCGUUGUCCGGAUUUAUUGGGCGUAAAGAGCGUGUAGGCGGCCAGGUAGGUCUGCUGUGAAAACUCGAGGCUCAACCUCGAGACGUCGGCGGAAACCAUCUGGCUAGAGUCCGGAAGAGGAGAGUGGAAUUCCUGGUGUAGCGGUGAAAUGUGCAGAUAUCAGGAAGAACACCAAUGGCGAAGGCAGCUCUCUGGGACGGUACUGACACUGAGACGCGAAAGCGUGGGGAGCGAACAGG